rnacentral:rRNA from 1 species
UGAGUGAAGAAGGCCUUCGGGUUGUAAAGCUCUUUCGGACAGAAAGAAAUCGCACUGGUUAAUACCUUGUGUGGAUGACGGUACUGUAAGAAGAAGCACCGGCUAACUACGUGCCAGCAGCCGCGGUAAUACGUAGGGUGCGAGCGUUAAUCGGAAUUACUGGGCGUAAAGCGUGCGCAGGCGGUUUUGUAAGACAGACGUGAAAUCCCCGGGCUUAACCUGGGAACUGCGUUUGUGACUGCAAGGCUAGAGUACGGCAGAGGGGGGUAGAAUUCCACGUGUAGCAGUGAAAUGCGUAGAUAUGUGGAGGAAUACCGAUGGCGAAGGCAGCCCCCUGGGUCGAUACUGACGCUCAUGCACGAAAGCGUGGGGAGCAAACAGGAUUAGAUACCCUGGUAGUCCACGCCCUAAACGAUGUCAACUAGGUGUUGGGGGAGGAGACUUCCUUAGUACCGCAGCUAACGCGUGAAGUUGACCGCCU